CUCCCCAGAGUUUCCAAAACCUUCAGGUGAUCCUGGAACUGACUCGGAAUCCCAAAUAGGGAUGACCAGAACAAGGCCUGGACCAGAUAUUGGUCCCGUGAACCUGGUCCAGAUCCGUAUCUUUCACUUCAAUCCUGAAAGCGAAUCGGCCUAUGAAGAUUGUCGAGGUUCACCUUUAUCUACCAAUCAACCAAUGUUGUUCCAGGAAGUCUACUCUAUUCAGUACGUUCGCCGGAAGCAAAAACUCAGAUUGUGUCAAAAGGCUAGCCUUCUUUGAGCCAUCUGCUCCACUUUGUUAUAUUUUCCUUCUCAGACAAGGGACAAGUUGUUGAUGAAAACAGGAUAAAACUAGUUGUCUCAUCCAAAGGCUAACACUUAUUGGAAUUUCAAAGGCUGGACAAAUAUUUUGGAAUCUCGACGACGACAUUUUCAAAAGGAAACUUCUUGAAAGAUUAUUAAAUCCAACUAAAGCAGCCAA